rnacentral:tRNA from 1 species
GGUCCCAUGGUGUAAUGGUUAGCACUUUGGACUUUGAAUCCAACGAUCCGAGUUCAAAUCUCGGUGGGCCCU